rnacentral:rRNA from 1 species
UACGUAGGUGGCUAGCGUUGUCCGGAUUUACUGGGCGUAAAGAGCGCGCAGGCGGUCGUUCAAGUCGAGUGUGAAAGCCCCCGGCUCAACUGGGGAGGGUCACUCGAUACUGAUCGACUCGAAGGCAGAAGAGGGAAGCGGAAUUCCCGGUGUAGUGGUGAAAUGCGUAGAGAUGUGGAGGAACACCGAUGGCGAAGGCAGCCUCCUGGGCCAACACUGACGCUCUGUACACGAAAGCGUGGGGAGCAAACAGG